rnacentral:rRNA from 1 species
AAGAGCUCGCCCCUGAUUAGCUAGUUGGUAGGGUAAAGGCCUACCAAGGCGACGAUCAGUAGCUGGUUUGAGAGGACGAUCAGCCACACUGGGACUGAGACACGGCCCAGACUCCUACGGGAGGCAGCAGUGGGGAAUUUUCCGCAAUGGGCGCAAGCCUGACGGAGCAAUACCGCGUGAGGGAUGAAGGCCUGUGGGUUGUAAACCUCUUUUCUCAAGGAAGAAGUUCUGACGGUACUUGAGGAAUAAGCAUCGGCUAACUCUGUGCCAGCAGCCGCGGUAAUACAGAGGAUGCAAGCGUUAUCCGGAAUUAUUGGGCAUAAAGCGUCUGUAGGUUGUUUGGUAAGUCUGUUGUUAAAGACUAGGGCUUAACCCUAGAAAAGCAAUGGAAACUGCUAUACUUGAGUGUGGUAGAGGUAGAGGGAAUUCCUAGUGUAGCGGUGAAAUGCGUAGAUAUUAGGAAGAACACCAAUGGCGAAAGCACUUUACUGGGCCAUAACUGACACUGAGAGACGACAG